GCCUUCAUCGUCUCUCUUCUCUACUUGUUCUCAGACUUUCAUGCCAAGAGUUACUCCACCAAUGCCAAGGUCUUCAAGGGUAACUAAUAAUUAAUUAAACUACCUUUUCUUUUCUUUUCUUUUCGUUUUCAUUUUUAUAUGUAGUUAUUGUUUCAGAGUGAUUCAUCAGUUGAAGAAAAAAAUGAACAUAAUUGUCAUAAAUUCCUUUUACGAUUUCAAUUCUUCGGUGUGCAUAUGUAUCUUAAUAUCAAUUAAUUGAAGAGAUUCAUUGUUAAUUUAUAUUUUAUGUUUUUACUAUAAAUGCAUGAUUAAACAGUUCCUGCUGUUGCAGAAGCGACGAUAAUAUUAAUAACAAUAUUAUCAGAAAUAUUUAGAUAAUUAUUAUGCCGACAAUUAUACUAAGAAAAUUCCCAGUUAAAUUGGAGGGGUCACAAAUGGUCCCGCUUAAAACCCAACAACUAGACAGAACUCACUUAGAUAUUUAUAGCAAUAAUAACUAAAUAAAUAUAACCAACAUAAAGCUAUUAAAUAUAAGCAAACAACUAAGAAAUAAAAUACCAGAGUUUUAACGAGGUUCGGCCAAUUUAACUUACGUCCUCGGACACUACCAAAUUAAUAUUUCCUCUAGAAAUAUUACAAUAGAGAAGAUUAACACCAAGUUACAAUUAGCUACUUGGAUUUUUGGAAUGAUAAAACCUAAGGGGGAAGGGUUCUAUAUAUAACAAACCAAACCCCCUCCCUUUCUAUCUUUUCCUAAUGUGGGAUAUUGCCAAUAUUCAACAAAUCUCCACCUUGGUGAUAUUCCACAUCUUCGAACAUCUUCUCAUAACACAAACUUCAAUAGUGUCUUCAAAUUUGCAACCAAUCGCCUUCUUCCCUUUUGGUAGUUGUGCCAGUUUCCACGUCUUGUUUUUCUCUAGAGAUUGCAUUUCCUCUUCCAUUGCACCUAACCAUCUAUUAUUCUCUAAAUUUUGAAUGGCUUCGGUGUAAGUGGAUGGAAUAUUAUCAACAACUGGAAGUGCAUAAGCUACCAUGUCAGUGAAACGAGCAGGUUUCUGAAUUUCUCGUCUCUGCCUUCUGACUGCAAUUGGCUCUGAUUGCUGUUGAGGUUCUUGGGUAGAAACCUCUUCCUCAUCUGACUCUGCAUCUGCCAAUGAAGAAUCACUAGUGGUACCUUCUGCUGGAAUUACCACUCUCUGCUCAAACUCCACCUGCUGCGGAGUACACUUCACCUGCUGCGAAGUACUACUCGAAGUACUACUCACUCCUUCUGGAUUUACCUUAUUCAACAUGGCAGAUUCAUCAAAGGUAACAUCCCUACUGAUUAUCGUCUUCUUUGCCUCUAGACACCACAAACGAUACCCCUUAACACCAGCAUUGAAGCCCAUGAAUAGAGCCUUCUUUGCUCUUGGAUCUAACUUUGAUUCUUUCACAUGAUAAUAUGCAAUAGAACCAAAAAUACGCAAGGUGUCAUAAUCAGUAGCAGGUUUUCCAUACCAUUUCUCCAAAGGAGUCUUGCCAUUUAUAGCAGAUGAUGGCAAAUGAUUGAUGAGAUGUUGAGCGUACGUCACAGCCUCAGCCCAAAACUUUCUAUCUAAUCCAGCAUUAGAUAACAUACAUCGAACUUUCUCCACAAGCGUUCGAUUCAUACGCUCUGCCACCCCAUUCUGUUGCGGUGUUCCACCUACGGUGAAGUGCCUUACUAUGCCACAAUCUUGGCAUAUCUUCAGGAAUGGAUCGCUUUUAUAUUCUCCACCAUUGUCUGAUCGGAGAACCUUAAUCUUCCUUCCUGUCUGAUUUUCAAUUUUAGUUUUCCACUUAAGGAAAACUUCAAGCACCUCAUCUUUGUUCUUCAUAGGAAACACCCAAACUCGUCUGGAAAAAUCAUCAAUAAAGGUGACAAAAUAACGUCUUCCUCCAAGUGAUGGAGUCUUGGACGGUCCCCAUACAUCAAAAUGCACAUAAUCCAGAAUACCUUUAGUAUUGUGAAUCCCAGUGCCAAAUUUCACCCUUCGUUGUUUUCCCAGAACACAAUGCUCGCAAAAUUCAAGUUUGCAAGUCUUUGUACCUUUCAAUAAUCCUUGCUUGGCUAGAGUUUGCAAGGAUUUUUCACCAGCAUGGCCCAAACGCAUAUGCCACAGCUGUGUUGCCUCAGCGUCCUUCUUGGUACUCGAAAUUGCUGCUGCUGUUGCCCCGACCACUGUACUACCUUGGUAGUAAUACAGAUUGUUCUUUCUUAUGCCUUUCAACAUCACCAAUGCUCCUGAAGUUGCUUUAAGAACUCCAUCUCGUAUUGUCACAACUAGGCCUUUAGAUUCUAACGACCCCAAAGAGAUGAGAUUCUUCUUCAACUUUGGGACAUAUCGUACAUCCCGCAAAAUUCUAGUAGAUCCAUCAUGACUCCUCAGUUUAAUUGAACCUAUCCCGGCUAUUUUACAUGUGUUAUCAUUACCCAUGUAAACAACCCCUCCAUCUAGUUUUUGAAAUUCAAAGAACCAUUCCCAAAUGGGACACAUAUGAUAGGAACAACCAGAAUCCAUGAUCCACUCAUCUGCAUGUGAUGUUGAAGAUGUCAUACUAAGAGAAAAGUCUGACUCUGCUUCACUAUUGCAUUCUGCAACAUUUGCAUCUUGCGGAGUCUUCCAUUUUUUCUUCAAUUUUGGACAAUCUUUCUUCCAAUGUCCUUUUUCUUUGCAAAAGGAACAUUCAUCUUUGGCAACAGCUCGACCUUUGGACUUUCUUCUCUUCCUCUUAGACUGACUUUCCUGACGAUCUCUUGUUAACAAUGCUUCCACUGCUGCUUCACUUGAACCUUUCAACUUAUCCUUUCGGCGUAGUUCAUAGCUAUACAAUGCAGCAGUUACUUCAUUGAAAGUUACUUCCGACUUUCUAUGAAGUAAAGUAGUUUCAAGGUACUCAAACUCCUUUGGAAGCGAUCCCAACAACAUAAACGCCAAGUCUUCGUCUUCAAAAGUCACAUCCAAAUUCAACAAAUCAACCACCAGCUGAUUAAAAUUGGUAAUGUGCUCAUUCAUCGUGGUACCAGGAACAUAACUGAAACGAAACAGUCUUUUCUUCAUAUGCAACUUAUUUUGACUGUUCUUCUUCAGGAAUUUCUCCUCCAAUGCUUUCUACAAUUUACUUGCAGAAGUCUCUUUACUGAAUAUAUACUUCUGCUCUCUGGAAAGACAUGAUCGAAUUGUACCACAUGCCAAUCGGUUGAUGGUCUUCCAUUCUUUAUCAUCAACCCCUUCUGGUUUUUCUUCCUCAAUGGCAAUAUCUAGACCUUGUUGAAAGAAGGCAUCUAGAAGCUCACUUUGCCACAUGCCGAAAUGACCUAUUCCAUCAAAAAUUUCCACUGCAAAUCUCGUAUUUGCAAUUCCAACCCUCGACAAAAUGUACGAAGUGGAAGUUGUUGAUAUGGAUGGUUUUUCUUCUGUCAUUUUUGCCAUAGCUUCUAUUUAAUAGCCACCAAAUGCGGAAUACCCACAAGCUUUAGGAAAUGUUUCUGAUGUGUAAGAUCAGACUAAGCUGCAAACACAGAGCAUACUACAAAACCUUGGCUCGGAUACCAAUUGUUGCAGAAGCGACGAUAAUAUUAAUAACAAUAUUAUCAAAAAUAUUUAGAUAAUUAUUAUGCCGACAAUUAUACUAAGAAAAUUCCCAGUUAAAUUGGAGGGGUCACAAAUGGUCCCGCUUAAAACCCAACAACUAGACAGAACUCACUUAGAUAUUUAUAGCAAUAAUAACUAAAUAAAUAUAACCAACAUAAAGCUAUUAAAUAUAAGCAAACAACUAAGAAAUAAAAUACCAGAGUUUUAACGAGGUUCGGCCAAUUUAGCUUACGUCCUCGGACACUACCAAAUUAAUAUUUCAUCUAGAAAUAUUACAAUAGAGAAGAUCAACACCAAGUUACAAUUAGCUACUUGGAUUUUUGGGAUGAUAAAACCUAAGGGGGAAGGGUUCUAUAUAUAACAAACCAAACCCCCUCCCUUUCUAUCUUUUCCUAAUGUAGGAUAUUGCCAAUAUUCAACACCUGCUGCAUGCAAUUGUAUUAUAUUAUCGUUUCUAAUGACGAAGAAAAUGGAACAACCGUGAAGUGAAAAAAAAAAAGUUGAUGAGAAAAAUAAAUCAAGGCGGACAUAGAAAUUGUUGUCGCAGUCAACAUUAAAUAUGGUAAGCAGGUGAGUUAAUAAGUUUGACAGGUCCUCACCAAAAAUUAACUUCUCCCUUUUAUCGUCAUAUGUAUUAUUUAAGAUAUUGCAUGCUUUUGUCGUUUUCAUUACACCAAUAUUUUAUGUCUAGUAAGUUUUGGAACAACACCUCAUGAUUCAUCCAUUAAAUUCCAAUUUAGCGUUAUAUAAGUUUUUUUUUCUUAGAGAAUAUUAAGAAAAUCCAGUGUCAUAUAUACACAACAUGAAAUAAAUUUGGUAAUAAAAAAAAUUUGAGAGUAGGGCACCAAAUUAUAGUCCAGUAUUUCAAAUUAAUUUGGUUAUAAGGUCAACAAUCAAUUAUGCAAAUGAUGUAAACCUAAGACACUACUUUAUCACAUGUAUUGUUUCUACUGAUUAGUUUUAAUCAAUUGAAGUUAAUUGGAAAUAAAAUAAAGUAAUUGAUUAUGAAAUUGAUAGAGAUAACAGGUCAACCAAAUGAAUUAUUUUUCCUAUAUUAAAUUAUAAAACAUUCAAAAUGUAGUUAUGACACACGAAUAAGAUUUAUAUAAAAUAUAUAUAUUUAUUAAAAUUUUAUAUGAAAAUCAAAUCAAAUGAAAUUGAAGUUUUUAAAAUUAUAAUGUUUAUGGUGAAUUCAAGUAACAUCUAAAACAAUCAUUAAAAAAAUUGGAGAUUAAUAAGUUAGAAUUGUUUGGAGAGAUCUUACUCAAAAUAAAAAUUACUUUGACGAAAAUCAUAUUAUUAUAUUUUUUAAUAUGAAAGCUUCAAUCUUAUCAGAUUUAUAAUUUUACUUUAUAUUAUUUUUAAUUCAUAUUGUAAUUAUAAUUUAUAAUGAUAAUUAUUUAUUAUUUAUUAUUAUUUUAAAAUUUCAUAACCUUCGUUACUUACGGUUUGUUUAAGGUUACACACAAAAUUAAUGAAAAAUUAUAACCUCUGCUGCUUGAGGUUUGCUUAAGGUUGUUCACAAAAUUAAUGAAAAAAUUAUAACCUUCAUCACUUAUGACUUGUGUUAUAAAAGGUAAAAAAAUCAAGACAAAUCAAUUCAUCGUGUUUUUCUUCAUCAAAUCUGAUAGACGACUUCAAUUAAACAUUAGAUAAAUCUCUAUUGAUUUUAGUUUGCAUAAUACGAAAAACUUCAAUUUUUAAAUUUGAUCCAAUUUGAAUUUAAAUUUUAUUUAAUAAAAUAUUUAUAUGAUUUUAAAUUAGAAAAUAUAUUUAAAAAGUAAAAAAAUACAGAUUUAAUAUUAAAAUUAAAAAUUAAUGUUUUAACUUAAUUAAAUUUAAAUAUUAAUAUUUAAUUUGGUAAUUUUAAUAUAUUAAAAUCCCAAAUAAUUCUAUCUAUUAAUGUACAAUUACAAAUUAAAUCAACUUUAUGCUCAAAAUAAUUUUUUUAAUAUAUAUAUGAAUUAUAAAAAUAGAAUUGUUCUAAGUUUUAUUCCAAAAUCAAAGUGUUAAAAUGGGAUGCAUUUCUUAUAUUAAUAUUUUAUUUUCAUAUUAAAAUAAUAAAAUGUAAAUUAAAAUGAGUUGAAAUUUAAUAAAUAUUAAAUUACACUUUCUAAUUAACUCCAAUUGCAUAUUGAUUGUCAUUAGGAUUAUCUAAUCACAUUAUUUUUAUAAUACAAAUAUGAGAAAAUAUUUAGUACAUCAGUGAAAUUUUUAACUUUCACAAGUAAAGUUAGAGAGUUUAACAAGUUAUAGGGAUAGAGUAAAAUAUUAAAAAAAAAGAGAGUCAUAUAACAAAAUUUUAAAGUUGUUUGUGAAAUAAAUAAAAAAAUACACUACCACUAUAACAAAUACUAACCUUGCAAAUAUAUUUACAAUAUAAAAUGUUUUAAAACAUUAAGAGUAAAUUAAAAUAAUAAUAAUAAUGUGCAACGCGUGUGGGGCUAAAAACUAAUAUAUAUAAAAUACAAAGUAAAAAAAUGGACUAAACUAGGUUUAAGUUUUGAGUAUUAGAGUUCAAGCUUGAUUCAUAUUUUAAAUGAGUCUAAUAUUUUUAUCUAAAACUAUUUUUAAACUUCAUAAUUUUAUUCAAAUCUAUUUAUUAUAUAAAAUCAAAUUCUUUUGGGAGUCAUUAGGAAUUAAUAAGGAUAAUUUUGGUAGUAAAAGUUAAAGACAAUUAUAUAUUUUGGAAAAAAUAAUUAUUUUAAAAUUUAAUAAAACUAACUCCCUUUUAGUAAUUAGGAAUUAAUAAGCACAAUUUAGACAUUAAAAGUUUAGAUAAUUGAAAUUUUUUAAUUACUUAUUUUAAAAUUUUUUAUUCCAUUUUAAUUAUUUGUAUUUAAAUUGUUCUUUUAAGUCCAAAUGAAAUUAUUUAUGCUUAAUUCAUUAAUCUUUUACCAAAAUUUUUUUUUAAAAAUUUUUAAUAAUUUAAUAAUUUAAUUUUAAUAUAAAAAAUCUAUAUUCCAAGAAUUUACAUACCAAAAUGUAUAUAAAAAAUUUAGAUAGUAAGUUGAUGUUUUUAAAGGAAAAGGUGAGUAAAAAAUAAAAUAUUUUUAAGAUUAUUCAAAAGAUAAUAUCUGCAGUAGUAUCAGUAUCAGUAUCAGUAUCUAUAUGUAUUAAUAUCAUAUUUACUUUUGUUUUCUUCUAAAUUUAAAUUGGUUAGUUUCUUUAGUUUUACUUAAUAUAUUAUUAUUAAAAAAUUUAAUAAAUUUUCAAUUGAACUUUAAUUUCAGCUACACAUUUUGUAUAUGGUAAUAUUUGUUAUUAAGAAUAUUUGAUAUAUUAAUUAGCUUUUCAGUUACAAGUUUUUUUUGUAUAAAUAUUGUUCCAUCUUAUUAUUUUAUCCUAAUUUUCGUUUGAUCGUAAUUUUAUCUUAAUUUUUAAUUUUUUUUUCUCUACUAAGAGGUUAGUUUUUUAAAUGGAUACACGUGUUUACAUGCUAUUUUUAAAUAAAUUAUUAGUUUUUUUUAUCUAUUUCUUUGUUUUUCAAUGUCAAGCUCGAGUCUAAAACUUUUUUAUUUUUAAAUUGAGAGUAUAAUUUUUUUUCUAGUCUUCGUCGUAUUCUAACAUAAAAAAUUAAAAAUCCAUUAAUAACACUAUUUACUAAUAUUAUACAAAUAUAUAUCCAAAAUAGAUUACAAGAUUUCCUUUUAUGUCCAUUUUUAAUAUUUUUUUAUAAUAAUUCCAUGCAAGGGAAAAAUCAGGAUUUUAUUGUUUGAAGUUUAGAUAAAGCAUUUCUCUUUUCAAUUUUCUUACUCUUUUUUGUUGCACGUGAAAAAGUUAUUGGUGCUACCGCCCAGCUUUGGAUAUCAUUCUAUAUUUAAAUUGGGUAUAUUUCAUUUAUAUGAUUUGACAUGUUGAUGGCAUAUUUUAUAAAAUCAUAACAAUUUUCCAUAUAAGGUAAAAUUGUAUUUUAGAUAUCUAUUAUUGAUAGUAGUAAUUAAUUUUUUUGCUGGUAUUUUUUAAAGAGAUAAACGAUUAAUCAUGAAAUAUGCUCUAUUCUUAAUAAAGAGGCAAUGGAAGAAGAUUGUAUUUGAGUUGUUCGAUUAAAAAUUUUCAAAAUUGACUUGGAAAGAAGAAGUCAAAUAGAUUUAAAAAUAAUAAUAAAGAAAAAAAAUACAGAAACAACUAAAAGAAAAAAAUUAAGAACAAAGAAUAAAGAUUUAAAACAAUAAAUAAAUAAAACGAAAAUUAAAAAGUGGUUUAAAAAAUCGAUUGAUAUAAUAGCUAGAUGAAUAAGUGUCCAAUUGAACCAUUUGAGACAAAAAUCACAACAAAUUCAAUUAAUAACUCUAAUGGAACUCUAAUUAAUCUAAAUAAAAAAAAAUUAUAUGAUAAAGCAAGUUCUGAUGAAAAAUUCCUAUUACAUAGUGAGAUGACAAGUAAUGGAUUUUGAUAACAAUUUUUAUUAAAGUGGGAAGUGAUAAUGUAGUGAAUUAAUUUGGUAAAAGUUUUGUUCUUGUCAAGCCAUGAAAAGAUAAAAGUAAUAAAUUAUGGUAAUAAUGAAUCAUAUAAAUAUGGAAUUAUCUGUUAAUUAUUAAAAUAUGCUUUAUUAAGAUAUGUUCAAGAAUUAUAAUAGUAGUAAUUUUUUAUAUAUAGAGUUUAAGGUAAAAAAAAAGAGAUUAUUCCUGGGUACUUACUAAGCUUUUACAAGUGUAACGUGUGUUUUAAACACGUAGAUGGAAGAUCGAAUUAAAGCUCUAGAUUCAGGUUGAGAUUUCAACUCAUCUCAUCUCAUAACCAAGGUUUGAAGAGAGUACAAAUUUGAUAUUUUGGUUAUAGAAUAUGACAUGUACACAAGUUAUUGCCAGUGUUUUGAUAUUUUGAGUUUUAUAAUGAUUAGUUGACGUGAAAUAGUCGAAGUUGCUUCGGCAAUUAAUGUAACAUCUCAGUACUUUGACCCGAUGUUUGGGUCGGAUAUGAGGGUGUUACAUUGUUGGUAACUAUUUUGUAACUUUUCAUAAUUAGGUGACAAAAAAUUUCACUAAUAGUUAGAUAUUAAUUUUAUAAUUUUUCAUACUUGGGUGAACAAAAAGAAUUUACUAAUAGUUGAAGAAUUUACUAAUAGUUCAGUGAGUAAUAGUUUGAUUUACCCAAAAAUCUAUGUACUUACAAGUUACAAGAGGGGUAGGCUAAUUACCCCCUAUCCAUAAAUGAAUUCAUUACUGGCGGACCAUUAUCCAUAAAUGAAUAAACAUAAACAGGAAUGCAGUGGAAGUGGAUGGAUCAAUGAUAUCCAGUACCGGUAGGCAGUUGAGGUAGAGAAAAUAUUGGGUCAUACUUUUCAGUGCUUUUAAAGGCAAUCCCCCUCCCCUCCUCCUUUUUGCUGCAGCUUUAUUAACUGACGUAGUGCUAGAGUAGUAAAGGCAGCAGCAAGAUGGAAGUCCCCUUUUUCCCAACCCUUUUCUCCUGUAUCAAAGGCUUGGUGGUGCAACAAGCCUUGUUCUCAACCUUGGAGGAUUGGCUAGUGAAGCAUCCCAAAAUCCUCCAGUUUUCAUGGGAAAAUGGCCAAACACCAGCCUCCUCUCACCGCUUCCUCACCCUCACUGUCUUGUCUUACAUCUCUUUCACCUUCGUUCUCUCCCAACUAUCUCGCCCUUCACUUUCACGUCCACUCCUCAAAUCAAUCGCAGCCGUCCACAACAUCUUCCUCCUUACCCUUUCUUUCAUCAUGGCCCUGGGUUGCCUCGUUUCCAUCUUCUCCCAGGUGCCUAACUUCAACACCCUCGUUUGCUUCCCUAGGGGUACAUCCCCAUCGGGCCCUCUCUUUUUCUGGGCAUACAUCUUCUACCUCUCCAAGAUUGUUGAAUUCAUGGACACCCUUUUGAUCAUCCUCAGCGGAUCCAUGAAGAGGCUAUCCUUCCUUCACGUCUACCAUCACUCCAUGGUGGUCAUCAUGUGUUAUAUUUGCUUAGACAGUGCUCAGUCCUCCGUACCCAUGGUGCUGAUCACCAACUGCGUGGUGCAUGUCGUAAUGUACUCCUAUUACCUGUUGUGCACCCUGGGGAUGCACCCCAAGUGGAAGAAAAUGGUGACGGAUUUUCAACUGGUGCAGUUCCGGUUAAGCUUUUUGAUCAUGGCCAUGCUUGUGUUCUACCACUUCACUGCUUCUGGCUGCUCUGGGAUUCUGAGUUGGUGUUUCAAUGGAGCCUUCAACGUCUCUCUUCUCUACUUGUUCUCAGACUUUCAUGCCAAGAGUUACUCCACCAAUGCCAAGGUCUUCAAGGGUAACUAAUAAUUAAUUAAACCAACUUUUUUUUGUUUUUCCAUUUCGUUUCCAUUGUUACAUGUAGUAAUUGUUUCAGAGUGAUUCCGUUCAAGCUCAUGAAUCUGGUAUAGAAUCUUAAUUGUGAAAG
rnacentral:lncRNA from 1 species